UACGUAGGGGGCAAGCGUUGUCCGGAAUCAUUGGGCGUAAAGCGCGUGUAGGCGGCUCGGUAAGUCUGCUGUGAAAGUCCAGGGCUCAACCCUGGGAUGCCGGUGGAUACUGUCGAGCUCGAGUCCGGAAGAGGCGAGUGGAACUCCUGGUGUAGCGGUGGAAUGCGCAGAUAUCAGGAAGAACACCAACGGCGAAGGCAGCUCGCUAGGACGGUACUGACGCUGAGACGCGAAAGCGUGGGGAGCGAACAGG
rnacentral:rRNA from 1 species